rnacentral:rRNA from 1 species
CCCUUAGAUGUCCUGGGCUGCACGCGCGCUACACUGGAAGUUACGGAUUGAGAUACUACCUUGUCCGAAAUGGUCCGGGUAAUCACCUAAAAGCUUGUCAUAAUUGGAAUGGAUUAUUGUAACUAGUAAUCCUGAACGAGGAAUUCCUAGUAAGUCCCAGUCAACAGCUGGUACUGAUUACGUCCCUGCCCUUUGUACACACCGCCCGUCGCUACUACCGAUUGAAUGGUUUAGUGAGAUCUCUGGAUUGACGCUGGCUAGGGGGCGACCCUUGGCCAGGCUGUCGAGAAACUGCUCAAACUUGAUCAUUUAGAGGAAGUAAAAGUCGUAACA